rnacentral:rRNA from 1 species
GACGAACGCUGGCGGCGUGCCUAAUACAUGCAAGUUGAGCGCUGAAGGUUGGUACUUGUACCAACUGGAUGAGCAGCGAACGGGUGAGUAACGCGUGGGGAAUCUGCCUUUGAGCGGGGGACAACAUUUGGAAACGAAUGCUAAUACCGCAUAAAAACUUUAAACACAAGUUUUAAGUUUGAAAGAUGCAAUUGCAUCACUCAAAGAUGAUCCCGCGUUGUAUUAGCUAGUUGGUGAGGUAAAGGCUCGCCAAGGCGAUGAUACAUAGCCGACCUGAGAGGGUGAUCGGCCACAUUGGGACUGAGACACGGCCCAAACUCCUACGGGAGGCAGCAGUAGGGAAUCUUCGGCAAUGGACGAAAGUCUGACCGAGCAACGCCGCGUGAGUGAAGAAGGUUUUCGGAUCGUAAAACUCUGUUGGUAGAGAAGAACGUUGGUGAGAGUGGAAAGCUCAUCAAGUGACGGUAACUACCCAGAAAGGGACGGCUAACUACGU